AUACGGAGGGUGCAAGCGUUAAUCGGAAUCACUGGGCGUAAAGCGCGCGCAGGCGGCUAUUUAAGUUGGAUGUGAAAGCCUACGGCUCAACCGUAGAACUGCAUCCAAAACUAUUUAGCUAGAGUGUGGGAGAGGAAGAUGGAAUUAGUUGUGUAGGGGUAAAAUCCGUAGAGAUAACUAGGAAUACCAAAAGCGAAGGCAAUCUUCUGGAACACUACUGACGCUGAGGCGCGAAAGCGUGGGGAGCAAACGGGAUUAGAUACCCUUGUAGUCC
rnacentral:rRNA from 1 species